CGCUCGACAUCAGAGUUUGAUCCUGGCUCAGGACGAACGCUGGCGGCGUGCCUAACACAUGCAAGUCGAACGGAGACUUUAGAAACGAGAAUUUCGGUUCAAGAUUUUAAAGUUCUUAGUGGCGGACGGGUGAGUAACGCGUUGAGCAAUCUGCCUUUCAGAGGGGGAUAACACUCUGAAAAGAGUGCUAAUACCGCAUAACGUGUUCUGAUGGCAUCAUCGGAACACCAAAGGAGCAAUCCGCUGAAAGAUGAGCUCGCGUCCAAUUAGGUAGUUGGUGAGGUAAUGGCUCACCAAGCCGACGAUUGGUAGCCGGACUGAGAGGUUGAACGGCCACAUUGGGACUGAGACACGGCCCAG
rnacentral:rRNA from 1 species